GAUGAACGCUGGCGGCGUGCCUAAUACAUGCAAGUCGAGCGAACGGACGAGAAGCUUGCUUCUCUGAUGUUAGCGGCGGACGGGUGAGUAGCACGUGGAUAACCUACCUAUAAGACUGGGAUAACUUCGGGAAACCGGAGCUAAUACCGGAUAAUAUUUUGAACCGCAUGGUUCAAAAGUGAAAGACGGUCUUGCUGUCACUUAUAGAUGGAUCCGCGCUGCAUAGCUAGUUGGUAAGGUAACGGCUUACCAAGGCAACGAUGCAUAGCCGACCUGAGAGGGUGAUCGGCCACACUGGAACUGAGACACGGUCCAGACUCCUACGGGAGGCAGCAGUAGGGAAUCUUCCGCAAUGGGCGAAAGCCUGACGGAGCAACGCCGCGUGAGUGAUGAAGGUCUUCGGAUCGUAAAACUCUGUUAUUAGGGAAGAACAUAUGUGUAAGUAACUGUGCACAUCUUGACGGUACCUAAUCAGAAAGCCACGGCUAACUACGUG
rnacentral:rRNA from 1 species